rnacentral:rRNA from 1 species
ACUCAAUAGAUACCCUGGUAGUCCACGCCCUAAACGAUGUCUACUAGUUGUCGGGUCUUAAUUGACUUGGUAAACGCAGCUAAACGCGUGAAGUAGACCGCCUGGGGAGUACGGUCGCAAGAUUAAAACUCAAAGGAAUUGACGGGGACCCGCACAAGCGGUGGAUGAUGUGGAUUAAAUUCGAUGCAACGCGAAAAACCUUACCUACCCUUGACAUGGAAGGAAUCCCUGAGAGAUCGGGGAGUGCUCGAAAGAGAACCUUUACACAGGUGCUGCAUGGCUGUCGUCAGCUCGUGUCGUGAGAUGUUGGGUUAAGUCCCGCAACGAGCGCAACCCUUGUCAUUAGUUGCUACGAAAGGGCACUCUAAUGAGACUGCCGGUGACAAACCGGAGGAAGGUGGGGAUGACGUCAAGUCCUCAUGGCCCUUAUGGGUAGGGCUUCACACGUCAUACAAUGGUACAUACAGAGGGCCGCCAACCCGCGAGGGGGAGCUAAUCCCAGAAAGUGUAUCGUAGUCCGGAUUGUAGUCUGCAACUCGACUGC